UGGUGUUUUACUCCAGCUGUUACCACAGGACGAGAAGCACACGCAGUGUCUCGGCCUCAGGUGCAGUUUAAAAGCAAAUCUGAAGCCUGUAAUGAGUCACUGUACAGAGCUCCAGACCCAGACUGUGAAGGCCUCAGCUCUGGCCUGUUUUUUGUGCAUUAAUGAAGCUCUGUCACUGCCCCACGAGAUGGACACUCCGGGGACUCAGGAGAUCUUCUGCUUGAUGCUGCCAAGCCCAAAGGUGGCACAAAGUUCCUGUGGACUAAGGAACAGUGUCAUCUUUCUGAUCCAUGGAAACCUGCCACAGCCUUGAGCCCCAGUUCAGAACUGCCAUAAAGUGAUGCCAAAGGAACAAUAACCUGGAAAAUCCAGGGAGUCCCCCACAAGAGCCACAGUUCUGCAGGCAGCACAGAAAGGAGGAGGUUCCUGUGCAGUUGUGCCUUGGUCCUGGGAGAGAGGGCUGGCUCCCCCUCAGUGGAUCUCUCCAAACUCAGCUCCUCCCCAUCCCUUCAGGGCUUGCCACAAACAGAGUUAGUCACCUGGGGAUUAAUGCAGCCAGGGCAGCCCCUCAGCAAAGCUCCGAGCUGAGAUCCUGUAAAUCCAAAAUCUCCCCUGGAGAGGUGAGAAAUCUCACCUAUACUGCAGGAACCAGAGAGAGGAAGCAAAGACCCCUGAAACAUGGCCCCAUGCUGCUUUCCUGGGCUUUGCACGGAGGCUCCACUGACCUUUCCCACUUCAGUGCUCAUACAGGGGCUAAGGGACCUCCUCAGGAGUAACCCAAUGAUACAAACCUUGGCAUGACACUGGAAAUUAUCAUUCCUCGGGAAAGUCUCCCCUUUCAGACUGCUAUUCACACCAGAAACUUCACAUCCUGUCUUUUUGUUUUUU